rnacentral:lncRNA from 1 species
GUUUUCCAGAACAUACUAGCAGUUCUGAUGUUUCUUGUCCUGUGUCUUCUCAUAGCUCUUUGUGGUUUUAUGUUGAUCAGUCAGGGUGCCUCAGAAAAUCACCUUUGUAUUCUAGGUUAAAGCUGUCACAGGGCAAAGACAAUGAGCAUUCCUUCCUAGACUGUUAAGGUAUCUGUGAUUUGCAGAAGAGUCAAGCUCAUCAUUGUUUGAUGGCACUUUGUAAGAGGAUGAGAAAACUGAGGGAGCUAAAAUAACUUGCUUGCAGUCACAGGAAGAAGAUCUAGAUCCAGACCGUGCUAUGCAACACAAGAGAGACAUCCCAUCCAUGUGGUGUUGAGUGGAGCUGGAGAACAGGAGUCUGGUGUCAGACAGAUAUGGGUUGAAUUUGUUCUGGCAUUCUGGGCACAACACUACUCAUUAAAUAAUGAUGCCUUUUCUUUAUGUGGUUCUUUAUCUUUUUUUCAAUUGUAUAUAUACAUACCACCUCAAAUUCAAUUUA